GACGAACGCUGGCGGCGCGCCUAACACAUGCAAGUCGAACGAGCGAGAGAGAGCUUGCUUUCUCGAGCGAGUGGCGAACGGGUGAGUAACGCGUGAGGAACCUGCCUCAAAGAGUGGGACAACAGUUGGAAACGACUGCUAAUACCGCAUAAGCCCACGGGUCGGCAUCGACCAGAGGGAAAAGGAGCAAUCCGCUUUGAGAUGGCCUCGCGUCCGAUUAGCUAGUUGGUGAGGUAAUGGCCCACCAAGGCGACGAUCGGUAGCCGGACUGAGAGGUUGAACGGCCACAUUGGGACUGAGACACGGCCCAGACUCCUACGGGAGGCAGCAGUGGGGAAUAUUGCACAAUGGGGGAAACCCUGAUGCAGCGACGCCGCGUGGAGGAAGAAGGUCUUCGGAUUGUAAACUCCUGUUGUUGGGGAAGAUGAUGACGGUACCCAACAAGGAAGUGACGGCUAACUACGUG
rnacentral:rRNA from 1 species